GACCCCGUAGCUCAGCUGGAUAGAGCAGUUGCCUUCUAAGCAACAGGUCGGAGGUUCGAAUCCUCUCGGGGUCGCCA
rnacentral:tRNA from 1 species